CCGCCCCUCCGGCAUUCGAUUAGCGCGCUAGUGCGCUCGCCUCCUCCGGCAGGACCAAUGAGCGGAGCGCGGGGCUCCUGGUAUUCGCAGUGGUUGGUCCGCUGUCAGCGAGGGUUCGCGCCUCUGUUCCCGCGCGGCCGCGUCGGCCCCGAGAGUUCCGCCCGUUGCUGCCCAGGCUUCCGCGCGGUCGUGGGUCGCCCCACUUUGCAUCUUCUCCGUCCGCCAGUCGGUGCGGGUCGCGGGUGUCUGUCCGCGGAACCUCCCGGCUUGCAGAGUCGUUGCCUGGGGACGGGGGCAGGAGGAUGGCUGCAGCCACUGCGCUAGCCUCCGGGCUCCCUCGACCGCACUAGUCUUCGACCCGGGGAACAGGGCCCCGACCCUCUUGCUCUUCUAGGCAAGUUCUGAGUCUGCGCACCCCACAAGUUGCAGGCCACCUGCCGGGCCCUUGGAUUCCAUCCUAUACCCCAGACUCUCAUGUGACCUUUUCUGCACCUGCCAAGAUGUCUUCUUGCGCGCUGAACCAAAGGCCAAGAGCCCAAGGCCAGAAGCAGCCAGAAUUACCAGUUCAGUGAGGCCUAAAACCAGGACAGCGACCCUACUCAAAAAGAGUUGCAGGGACAGGAAGCCACUGAGGGCCUCCGAACCGUGCCCCUUUUCUCCCCAGGCACGUGUGACCAGCCAGCAGCUCCUGGAUGGCUCCACAUACUAGAAUAUGUGAGCCGCCGACCUGCCGUGAAGGUGCUGUUAAGUGAUAGAGUAAUAGCGCCCAGUGCUAAGUGGCCAGAGGGAAGGUGGAGUUUAGGGGUCCAACAGCCUCUCCUGAGAGGAGCACAAAGAUUGAAAUCUUACUGAUAGGUGGCAGGCAGACAUGUGCGGUGGGAACAGAAGGCUAAGGGGAUAAUUCUGUAGACUGGGCCUCUCUUGCUGACCCCCACCUGCUUUCCUUUAAAAAACAAUUUGCCUGAGACCACUGUGGCCCUACCUGGCUUAAUCGAUAGGAUAUGCUACAUUGCUCAACGAACAGCCUGUUAUCCGCAAGAGAAACCAUCCCGAAAGGCUCCUCCAUGCUGAGAAGAACACAAGUUCUUGGGGGACUUAUGUGGCCUUUAUAUUAACCACAGAUUCCAGAAUCCAGGGGAACAGGAUAAUUAAAAACAAACUUCCCAAACAUAAAUCUAUAACAAAUGGUUCCAAUUAGAACUGGCCAGUGAGGGCCCAGGUGAACCAGAGAUGCCUUCGAUUUUAGUAUGUUAUAGUAGUAAAAUCUCUCCUCCCUGGUUAGACCAUGUACAGUAGGGAUGUGGGAGUCUGGUGUCAUCCUACUGUCAGUCAAAUUGAAGAGGUUAACCUGGGUGGAACUUAGAAACUCCCCCCAAAAAAAACGGGGACAGGAGAGAGCAUCAGUCCCUCUCCUCUCUGAGAGGACCCACUCUACCUUGAAAAUGUCCCCUUUCGCCUUUGCUUCUAAUAAACUCAUGCCUGCUACCAUGUGCAGCCUGUUUGGAAUUCUUCAGAGCUUUUGUUCACAGUCCUGGUUGCUUCAGAUCUUGGGUGGAUCUUACUUAGUAAUAUUUCCACACACAUUGUAAAUGGUUUUUCUUAAAAUAUUUUUAGUUUUAG
rnacentral:lncRNA from 1 species